rnacentral:rRNA from 1 species
GGUCCCGCCUGCCCUGUGACUAUAUGUUUAACGGCCGCGGUAUUUUGACCGUGCGAAGGUAGCGUAAUCACUUGUCUUUUAAAUGGAGACCCGUAUGAAUGGCAUGACGAGGGCUUAACUGUCUCCUUUCUCAAGUCAAUGAAAUUGAUCUCCCCGUGCAGAAGCGGGGAUUACACCAUAAGACGAGAAGACCCUAUGGAGCUUUAGACACAAGGCAGAUCAUGUUAAACACCCCAGAACAAAGAACCAAACCCCGUGAACCCUGUCCUAAUGUCUUUGGUUGGGGCGACCACAAGGAAAAAGAACCCCCGUGCGGACAGGGGGCAUACCCCCCUACCACCAAGAGCUCCCGCUCUAAUGACCAGAAUUUCUGACCAGACAGAUCCGGCACUGCCGAUCAACGGACCGAGUUACCCUAGGGAUAACAGCGCAAUCCCCUCUUAGAGCCCAUAUCGACGAGGGGGUUUACGACCUCGAUGUUGGAUCAGGACAUCCUAAUGGUGCAGCCGCUAUUAAGGGUUCGUUUGUUCAACGAUUAAAGUCCUACGUGAUCUGAGU